GCCCGGGAGCGCUCGCCCCGCAGCUCGGGCGGCUGGCAGGCGGGCUGGCGCCGGUCGCGUCGGCCGGCAGCAGGGCCCAUGUGGAAGCUCCUCCCGGCCGCGGGCCCAGCCCGAGAACCAUACAGACUUUUGACUGGCACUGAGUACGUCGUUGGAAGGAAAAACUGUGCUAUUCUAAUUGAAGAUGAUCAGUCAAUCAGUCGAAAUCAUGCAGUGUUAAGCACUAAUUUUGCUGUGACCAAGUUGGCUCCACCUGACCCGGACCGACCCCCCAGGAGGGCGAAGACGCACCUUCGCGUGUUGAACCGAAUGGAACCGAAUGGAACGGAGAGCGGUCGGAGCUCCCAGGCCGCAUCCC